CUGCUGACCAAGACCCGGGCGGCGGGUGGAGCCGCAAGCGAGCGCAGAUCUGGGAGGGAGAAAAGGGUCGGGCGGAUAGGUGCGAGCCCUCGCCACAGGCAUCUGAACUCUCCACUGGUUGAGGUUUGGAGCUGCAGCCCCUAGUAGGAUGCUCUGCCCGGUGAGGGCUUGUUCUGUUAAAUCCGACUGGGGUUCGAAACCCGAUCUAGCUUGUAACAGCCUUCGGUUAUUACCUUGUCCAGUAAGCGAGGUAGGAGAGGCGUGAGCGACGGCGGGCCUACAGCAGAUCCACAUGCGCAGUGGCCUUCUCCGGCGCGAGCACGACGGGAGCAGACGGCAGCAGCAUGCCCCAGAGGUGUCCUACUAUUGCGUCUGAGAGGUGACGACGGCGUCCACACCUACGGUGUUGGAGCCUCUAGGUUUCUCGGUUCAGGCGAAUUAUAAGGUUCUUGGAUCCCGUCUGCCUGCUCAAGUCAUUUGUUUUUCCAGAAAUAUUCUCUGGAUCAAGUGUCUUUUAUGUCAUACAGAACUGUGUUAUGAAACACUGGAGGGAGAAGCAUAAAUCUGAACAUCUAAAUUUUUGUUAGACAGAUAGUUUUUUUUUCCCUGAUA